UACGAAGGGUGCAAGCGUUAAUCGGAAUUACUGGGCGUAAAGCGCACGCAGGUGGCUGAGUCAGUCGAUUGUGAAAGCCCUGGGCUUAACCUGGGAAUUGCAGUCGAUACUACUCAGCUAGAGUAUGAGAGAGGGAGGUAGAAUUCCACGUGUAGCGGUGAAAUGCGUAGAUAUGUGGAGGAAUACCGGUGGCGAAGGCGGCCUCCUGGUUCAAUACUGACGCUGAGGUGCGAAAGCGUGGGGAGCAAACAGG
rnacentral:rRNA from 1 species